GACAUACUUGAAGUCACAAAGGAGUCAAUAUUUAAAACGUUAUUGAAAGAUGAAUAUAGCUAAGCAAGCACGGUAGACCUCUUACUUCUCCUUGAAGCUCGAGUGAAGUUACUUCCGAUAUUUGUUUUAAAUGUAUAAGAUUGCUGUAUAUAUCAGACAACUCUGGAUUUCUCAUGAAGCAUACAAGGACUAUUAUAAACUUCAGAUGUCUGAAAUCUCACAUUCAAUUGGGAUUUUCUUCUUUUGUCUAGCAGUUCGAUUGUUAAUCGAAAACAUUGAUAACUUGGAGACUUUAAUCCCAUGGGGAAAAAUGAACAAUAAAAAAACAAUUGAUUUCAAUGGAGACUUCAUUUAUUAAGUUAGACAUUUUUAGUGCAAAAUAGGCCUGAUAUUUCUUUUAGAAAACUUAAAAAUGUUUUUGUGUAUAAAGAAAAUACACUAAAGUACAGUGCUGUUUUGACUUGGUGGGUAUGUUCAGCUAUAAGUGAGCCAAUGAAUCACUGACUCUCUGAUACACAUUGAUGAUGGUACUUGUGAAUUAUUGUGAGGAAGUGUGAAAAUGUCUUAUAAAUUAUUGGGUAGGCAGUUAUAUUGGUGCCUUUGAAACCUGCUUUGUUUCUGCUGUGUGCUUUUGUUUGUACAAUGUAGGCAUAUGCUCUAAAAUGUCAUUCAGAUUACAAACAUGCGGGGAGUAAGGGAGCACUUCCGCUUCCGUUUCACAACUUUUAUUUCAUCACAUUGCUUCUCAGUCAACUAUCAAAAUCACAAGUUUCCUUCCUUAUAGUUUUAAUCAGAGAAAAUUUUGUAGAAAAUUGAUCGUGAAAAAGAGUACAGGGAAGCAAAGAAUGCUUUAAAACUCACACCGGUAUACAAAAUCACUUGGCCGGCAUCCUAGAAACCUAGUGGAUACACACUGUGUAGAGGGUAAAACAAAGAAAUACGGUAGUUCUAGGGAAUAGAAAAGUUUUGGUUUGGUUUGGUUUUCCUGAGAACCUGACCUGGCAAUUCAACUGAUCAUUAAACACGACUGUAAAGAACAGCUCCAUUUCGGCCCUUAGAGAGUUCAUCCAGAGAUUGCAGGAGGGAUUUGUAUAGAAUAAAGCUUCACAAAACCGAAGGCUGUCAAGGGAAAUAGUAUCCAGGAGGACAGGGCAAGCCAACCACCCCUUCAGCAGCAAAAGCUCAGAAGACAGCCAGAGGCAGGUCUGUGGCUGCCAACACAACUGCCUACCACGUCUGCCAAGGAGCCAGAAGCUGCUUGUGGGAGAAUAUCCCUUACCCUUAGCAUCUGGGUCCUGUGAUUGUUAUCCAAAGAGACAGAGUGGAUUACAGGAGCAAGGUUCUUAUAAUGGACACCGUAGUGGCUGAGUGGCUGCAGCCCCUUCUGAUGAGAUCUAAACUCCGAAGGUCCAUCCUGUCCACACUGCCCAGAGGUCACCUCUGCAUUGUGCUUCAUUGAAGAUGCUCAUGAAGAUGCCUUGCUUCUUGGCCAUAAGAACUCAAAAAGUUCUCCUGUUUCUUGCUUCCUAUAUCUCCAAACAACUAUGUACAAGGAAGAUAGAACAAAGAGGUUUGCAGAGCCAUUGCCUUGUCGUCUUCUUACAAUACAAAAUUCAAUGGUUGUAACUGAUCAUUAAUAAACAAAAAGUAUUCUCUUAUACUUA